rnacentral:rRNA from 1 species
UACGUAGGUGGCAAGCGUUGUCCGGAAUUACUGGGCGUAAAGCGUGCGCAGGCGGUUUGCUAAGACAGGUGUGAAAUCCCCGGGCUUAACCUGGGAACUGCGCUUGUAACUGGCAAGCUAGAGUGUGGCAGAGGGGGGUGGAAUUCCACGUGUAGCAGUGAAAUGCGUAGAGAUGUGGAGGAACACCGAUGGCGAAGGCAGCCCCCUGGGCUAACACUGACGCUCAUGCACGAAAGCGUGGGGAGCAAACAGG